rnacentral:rRNA from 1 species
UACGAAGGGGGCUAGCGUUGUUCGGAAUUACUGGGCGUAAAGCGCGCGCAGGCGGUCCUUUAAGUCGGGGGUGAAAGCCCAGAGCUCAACUCCGGAACUGCCUUCGAAACUAGAGGACUUGGGUACGGGAGAGGUGAGUGGAAUUCCGAGUGUAGAGGUGAAAUUCGUAGAUAUUCGGAAGAACACCAGUGGCGAAGGCGGCUCACUGGCCCGUUACCGACGCUCAGGCGCGACAGCGUGGGGAG